ACCUGCUGACGCUGCUGGGCGUGGCGCGGGGGCUCGGCGUGCCCACGCUGGCGCUGCGCCUCGGCAGCGCCGCCUGCUUCCGCUGCCUCACGGCGUUCCCCAUGCUCUGCGACAAAGGCUACCUGCCAGUUCAAGGUACACACCCACACACAUCUAUGAGUGAAAGAGAGCAUGCCAAUAACGUGCCGUGAUCUUGAUCUCACUUGCUUACGCCCUGCGUCGCCGGCGUGUUCGGUGGCAGAGUCGUCGCAGCUGGACGCACCGGUGGUCGAGCUGCCACCGUACCGCAUCGG
rnacentral:lncRNA from 1 species